rnacentral:rRNA from 1 species
UACGUAGGGUGCGAGCGUUAAUCGGAAUUACUGGGCGUAAAGCGUGCGCAGGCGGUUCGUUGUGUCGGUGGUGAAAGCCCCGGGCUUAACCUGGGAAUGGCCAUGGAAACUGGCGAACUGGAGUGUGGCAGAGGGGGGUGGAAUUCCACGUGUAGCAGUGAAAUGCGUAGAUAUGUGGAGGAACACCGAUGGCGAAGGCAGCCCCCUGGGUCGACACUGACGCUCAUGCACAAAAGCGUGGGGAGCAAACAGG